AUUCUUGAAUGGAAUGCAAGCACUGCUCAUAAAAUGUGUUAGUUUUCUUUCUAAAUGUAUGUUUAGAAAAGUUGCAUUUUUGGAUAUAACUUGCUGGUGUGGGUGCUUCAAGCACUGUUUAGAAUAUAAAUCAACAACUCGAAUAUAACAAGCAAGCACUGCUCAAUAAUAGGGCAGCAACCUAGUGAGUUAUGAUGAGAGACACCCACUUCCCCACCUAGAUUCACAUACUCAAUGGGAUAUGGUUGAGUUUGGGGAUCUGGAAGAAGCAUUAGUUCAGCAAGGAGUCAAAAGUGGACAUGAUGAAAACAAAGACAUGGAAAGAAAACAUAAGAGAACUCCAGAGAAAUGUGUUGAAUAUUGAAUCAAAUUAUGGGAAAAGAGAUCUGGCAAAACAAAGUGGAAGGAAAUGGAAGAUGGAUGGGAAAUAUGACAAUUAUAUAUGUCCACAAGUUUAAGCUGUGUAUAUACUUUAUUUAUUUGUUUAUAGGGUGUCUCUCAUUUAAGCUGUGGAAGGAAAUGGAAGAUUGAGGGUGGAGCGUAUGUGUUUAUAAUAUUUUUUGUGUGUAGCCUGACAUCAUUACUUUCUCAA